AGAGUUUGAUCCUGGCUCAGAAUCAACGCUGGCGGCGCGCUUAACACAUGCAAGUCGCACGAGAAAGUCCGCAAGGAUGAGUAAAGUGGCGUACGGGUGAGUAACACGUGGAUCAUCUACCUUUUAGUGGGGAAUACCUCCUGGAAACGGGAGACAAUACCGCAUAAGCUCGAAAGAGGAAAGCAGCAAUGCGCUGAAAGAGGAGUCCGCGGCUGAUUAGCUAGAUGGCGGGGUAACGGCCCACCAUGGCGAAGAUCGGUAGCCGGCCUGAGAGGGCACACGGCCACACUGGCACUGAAACACGGGCCAGACUCCUACGGGAGGCAGCAGUGGGGAAUCUUGCACAAUGGAGGAAACUCUGAUGCAGCGACGCCGCGUGAGCGAUGAAGCCCUUCGGGGUGUAAAGCUCUUUCGACGGGAACGAUAAUGACGGUACCCGAAGAAGAAGCUGCGGCUAACUACGUGCCAGCAGCCGCGGUAAUACGUAGGCAGCAAGCGUUGUUCGGAAUUACUGGGCGUAAAGAGUGUGUAGGCGGUGUUGCAAGUCUGUCGUGAAAUCUCCCGGCUUAACUGGGAGGGUGCGGCGGAUACUGCAAUGCUAGAGGGUGGGAGAGGUAAGCGGAAUUCCUGGUGUAGCGGUGAAAUGCGUAGAUAUCAGGAGGAACACCUGGUGUAGACAGCUUACUGGACCACUUCUGACGCUGAGACACGAAAGCGUGGGUAGCAAACAGGAUUAGAUACCCUAGUAGUCC
rnacentral:rRNA from 1 species